AAUCAACGCUGGCGGCGCGCUUAACACAUGCAAGUCGCACGAGAAAGGGAGCAAUCCUGAGUAAAGUGGCGUACGGGUGAGUAACAUGUGGAUUAUCUACCUCUUUGUGGGGAAUAACUUUGGGAAACCGAAGCUAAUACCGCAUAAGCUCGUGAGAGGAAAGCAGCAAUGCGCAGAGAGAGGAGUCCGCGGUCGAUUAGCUAGUUGGCGGGGUAACGGCCCACCAAGGCUAUGAUCGAUAGCCGGCCUGAGAGGGCACACGGCCACACUGGCACUGAAACACGGGCCAGACUCCUACGGGAGGCAGCAGUGGGGAAUCUUGCACAAUGGGGGAAAUCCUGAUGCAGCGACGCCGCGUGGGUGAUGAAGUCCUUCGGGAUGUAAAGCCCUUUCGACAGGAACGAUAAUGACGGUACCUGGAGAAGAAGCUGCGGCUAACUACGUGCCAGCAGCCGCGGUAAUACGUAGGCAGCAAGCGUUGUUCGGAGUUACUGGGCGUAAAGAGUAUGUAGGCGGUUGGGUAAGUUUGGUGUGAAAUCUCCCGGCUUAACUGGGAGGGUGCGCCGAAAACUGCCUGGCUCGAGUGCGGGAGAGGGGAGCGGAAUUCCUGGUGUAGCGGUGAAAUGCGUAGAUAUCAGGAGGAACACCUGCGGUGUAGACGGCUCCCUGGACCGUGACUGACGCUGAGAUACGAAAGCGUGGGUAGCAAACAGGAUUAGAUACCCUGGUAGUCCACGCCCUAAACGAUGCAUACUUGGUGUUGGCCAUUCACUUGGUCAGUGCCGGAGCUAACGCGUUAAGUAUGCCGCCUGGGGAGUACGGUCGCAAGGCUGAAACUCAAAUGAAUUGACGGGG
rnacentral:rRNA from 1 species